rnacentral:rRNA from 1 species
GACGAACGCUGGCGGCGUGCUUAACACAUGCAAGUCGAACGGCAAGGCCCGGCUGUUGCGGGGGGCUCGAGUGGCGAACGGAUGAGUAACACGUGAGUAACCUGCCCUUGACUUUGGGAUAACUUUAGGAAACUGGGGCUAAUACCGGAUAGGUUCUCCGGCUGGGUGGUGGGGGUGGGAAAGUUUCGGCGGGUGGGGGUGGACUCGUGGCUUAUCAGCUUGUUGGUGGGGUAGUGGCUUACCAAGCCUUUGCCGGGUAGCAGGGCUGCGAGGGGGACCGGCUACAUUGCGACUGAGAUACGACCCAGACCCAUACGGGACGCAGCGGUGGAGAAUAGUGUACAGUGGGCUGAAGGCUGAUGUAGCCACGCCGCGUGCGGUAAGUCGGGCUGCGGUUUGGAUACCGCUUCCGCCUGUGACGAAGCGAGAGUGACGGUAAUGGGUAAAGAAGCCCCGGCUAACUACGUG